GAUGAACGCUGGCGGCGUGCUUAACACAUGCAAGUCGAACGGAAAGGCCCAAGCUUGCUUGGGUACUCGAGUGGCGAACGGGUGAGUAACACGUGGGUGAUCUGCCCUGCACUUCGGGAUAAGCCUGGGAAACUGGGUCUAAUACCGGAUAGGACCACAUUUUGGAUGGUGUGGUGGAAAGUUUUUCGGUGUGGGCUGAGCUGGCGGCCUAUCAGCUUGUUGGUGGGGUAAUGGCCUACCAAGGGGUCGACGGGUAGCCGGCCUGAGAGGGUGGACGGCCCCAUUGGGACUGAGAGACGGCCCAGACUCCUACGGGGGGCAGCAGUGGGGAAUAUUGCACAAUGGGCGCAAGCCUGAUGCAGCGACGCCGCGUGGGGGAUGACGGCCUUCGGGUUGUAAACUCCUUUCGCUAGGGACGAAGCGUUAUGUGACGGUACCUGGAGAAGAAGCACCGGCUAACUACGUG
rnacentral:rRNA from 1 species